GUUUAGUUUAGGUUAAAUUAUUAUAAGUAAAUUAAAGUUUAAUUAUUUAUAAAGAAUAAAUUUAGUUAAUUAUAGAAUAUUAGUAUUGUGAGAGAAAUUUAGUUUAAAUUUUAUAAGAAAAAUUAAUUUUUUGUACCUUGUGUAUCAGGGUUUAUUAAUUAAAUUUAAUAAAUAUUUUAUUUUCUCGAAUUUAAGAGAGCUAUAAUUAUAUAAUUUUUAUUGUUGAAUAAAUAUUAGUAAUAUAAUUAUUGAAGUGAAAUGCUAUUCGAUCUUAAAUAUAUCUAGUUUUUUAAGAAAUAAAUUUAAUUUAGUUUAUUUUAAGUAAGAUUUUUAGUUUACUAGAGUUUUAUUUGAAUAAGUAAAUAUUUUAAGGGAUGAGCUUUAAAGUAGAAUUUUAAAAAUUUAUUUAAUUUUAUUAAUGAAUAGGAUUAGAAGUUUUUAUUUUUAAUAGUGUUUUAUGACUAAUUAAUGUGAAAGAUAAAAUUUGUAUUUGAAUUUUAAAUUUUUUAUUAAAAUUUACUGUUUAAUUUUAGAAGAGUAGGAAUAAUGAUAGAAUUAGUAAAAUUAGGAGUUUAAAUUAUUUAGGUUUGAUAGGUUAAAUAAAGGAACUCGGCAAAAUAUUUUUCACCUGUUUAUUAAAAACAUGUCUUUUUGAUUAUAAUUUAAAGUCUAACCUGCCCAAUGAUAAGUAUUAAAUGGCUGCGGUAUAUUGACCGUACAAAGGUAGCAUAAUCAUUAGUUUUUUAAUUGAAAGCUGGAAUGAAAGGUUGCAUGAAAAAAUGACUGUCUCUGUUUAAAUUUAUUUGAAUUUUAUUUUUAAGUAAAAAAGCUUAAAUUUUUCUAAAAGACGAGAAGACCCUAUAGAGUUUUAUAAAUUUGGUAUAAAGAUUUUUUAGUAUUAAAAUUAAUUUAUGCAUAAUUUAUUUGGUUGGGGUGAUUGAAAAAUUAGGUUAACUUUUUUUUAUUUAUUACAUUUAUUUAUGAGUAUUUGAUCCUUAUUUAAAGAUUAAAAGAUAAAAUUACCUUAGGGAUAACAGCGUUAUUUUUUUUGAGAGUUCAAAUCGAAAAAAAAGAUUGCGACCUCGAUGUUGGAUUAAAAUAAAUUUUUGGUGUAGAAGCUAAAAGAAUUAGGUCUGUUCGACCUUUAAAAUUUUACAUGAUCUGAGUUUAGACCGGCGUGAGCCAGGUUGGUUUCUAUCUUUAGAAAGAAAAAAUAUCUUAGUACGAAAGGACCUUUUAUUUAAUUUAAAAUUUUUAUAUGAAUACAAUUAAU
rnacentral:rRNA from 1 species